CAUUUUACACGGGCACAGUACAAUUACGAGAGUUUCGCCGUAAUUUCGCCGUUGGAUUUGAAAACGUACGGACCCGUAAUAUUCUACCGUUUCGGUGUUCGUAAUAAUUGUAAUAAACACGCGCCUCUAAAAAUCGAUGCCGUGCACGAUUAAUAAACGCUUAAUAAACAGGAUGAAAGUUAUAAUAUAGUUCUGCGCGAUGAACGUCGGC